AGUCUAAUAUUGGGCCGCAAACGGACUGCUGGCCCAUAAGCGAGGAGUCGGUGGUCAACCACCGCAUCAUCGCCGCGGGGCGGUGACGGAGCUCAACCCAGCCUCGCCGCUCACCGGAGCCCAGCCUCGCUGUUCGGUGGCUACCCGUGCUCCGCCUCCUCCCCAGAUUUUCCGCGCCUCCAGUCGCCGCUCCCAUGCCGGCCGGCGUCGACGACGAACCAGACCCGAAGCGCCGGUGAGGAAUAUGGCGCAUCCUUCCCCUCUAGUACGAGCUGCACCAGGUUGACCCGCCGGCCGCCGCCAUCAGAGGCUCAUGCCGUCGCUCGACAGGAGGGCCUCCCGAUUGUGCCGCCAUGCUUGCAAUCAGUCAAUCUGGGGGUAUGCAAUAGUGACAAUAGCCCAUACUGUUAUUGGAGUAUUUCCAUUAUCUGGAAUCUCCUAAAGAGUAUAUGUCAAGCAUGCUAGCUAUUGCAUGAUUACAUGGCAGCACGGGGAUGUAAGGAUGACUUGGUUGCUUGAAAGAACAGAAAAAAUAUUUGGUGGGAUCUAAUUUAUGAUAAUGUAGGACUAGAAGUUCCAUUUUCUUUUCGGCAUUGUCAUUUUUUUUUGCGAGAAACCGCUGAUUAUAUUAAAGUCCAGAAAUUACAGAAAGACACCCCAUAAAGAAAGAAAUAGCACACAGGUCCUUCUGCAACACAGUGACGACGGCGAGGAACCAGACGCAUCAGCGACGCGCCGCCCGCUGCAUCUUCCAAACCUUGGAACGAAGAUGAUCCCCCACGGACGGGAAGUUGCCGAAACUCGAACUCCGGAGAGCUCCAUCCUUCGCCAAGCCAGCACCACCGCCGGACUCCACCACCAGCAGCUUCGGUUUGUUGAUCUGGAUCCGCCGCUCCGGGAUCCAGCCGGGGAACGAGCGCGCACGGCGGCCACCCAGGACCGCGAGCACAGGGGAAGACGCCUGCUUGAUGCCGAAGCUCCGAAGAACGCCUGCACCGGAGAGGAAGAAGACGACCCCAAAACACCAACCGCCGACGCCUCCGCCUCCACGCCGCCGCCGACAAGCACCCUACUCAAGCCUACACUAUAUACACGACGAGAUCCGGGGUUCCCCCACCCUCCCGCCGCCGGAGCGGCCGGCGGAGCGAAGGGGAACCAGCGAAUCGACGCCGGCGAGGUGGUUUGACUAGGAGAUCACAAGAAAUCGCCUCCGGCACUGUAGCGGGGGAUGAGACGGGUCCAAGGGUGUGGGUCUCCGAUACUGCUCAUUGAGGAUGCCCGUGAAACCCGCUGUGUUGCCUCCGUCUAAGCUGUUGUUGUUAGACACCCCCGAUGAUGAAAUUUAGGUGAUCAAGUUCAAGCUUAUGUUGCUGCUCUCCCACUCAAAGCGGUGGUUGUGUGGUAACGGCUUCAUCAAGAUCGGCAUCCUCAAGUCAGGAGUAGCAGGAGAGCAAUGGCGACAGUCAUGCACCAGCCGCUUCCGUGUUCGUUGGUGCACGCAACCAGCUCGCUGAUGCCUCUGGCGAUGGCCAUCAACAGUGGCGGUGGGAAGAGGAUGCCGAGGAACUGAAGUGCAGCUGUGAUCAACUGUAUAUACAGGGUAAUUAUUCGCCCACA